rnacentral:rRNA from 1 species
CCUACGGGAGGCUGCAGUGGGGGAUAUUGCACAAUGGGGGAAACCCUGAUGCAGCGACGCCGCGUGUAGGAAGACGGUCCUCUGGAUUGUAAACUACUGUCCCCAGGGACGAAGAUGACGGUACCUGGGGGGGAAGCUCCGGCUAACUACGUGCCAGCAGCCGCGGCAAUACGUAGGGAGCGAGCGUUGUCCGGAUUUACUGGGUGUAAGGGGAGCGUAGGCGGGGAUGCAAGUGGGGUGUUAAAUCUACCGGCUCAACUGGGAGUCGCACUCAAAACUGCAGCUCUUGAGUGAAGUAGAGGCAGGCGGAAUUCCUAGUGUAGCGGUGAAAUGCGUAGAUAUUAGGAGGAACACCAGUGGCGAAGGCGGCCUGCUGGGCUUUUACUGACGCUGAGGCUCGAAAGUGUGGGGAGCAAACAGGAUUAGAUACCCUUGUAGUC